rnacentral:rRNA from 1 species
UGCUGGCAAAAUUGGGAAGUCUGAAAUGACAAAAGAGCAGCAUAUUGUCCAGCUAAGCAAGGCCAGGCCUGGUUAGUAUGUGGAUGGGAGACUGCUGGGAAAAUCAGGUGCCACAGUGG